GAUCAUGGCUCAGAUUGAACGCUGGCGGCAUGCCUUACACAUGCAAGUCGAACGGCAGCACGGGAGCAAUCCUGGUGGCGAGUGGCGAACGGGUGAGUAAUAUAUCGGAACGUGCCCAGUCGUGGGGGGAUAACGCAGCGAAAGCUGUGCUAAUACCGCAUACGAUCUACGGAUGAAAGCGGGGGAUCGCAAGACCUCGCGCGAUUGGAGCGGCCGAUAUCAGAUUAGCUAGUUGGUGGGGUAAAAGCCCACCAAGGCGACGAUCUGUAGCUGGUCUGAGAGGACGAUCAGACACACUGGAACUGAGACACGGUCCAGACUCCUACGGGAGGCAGCAGUGGGGAAUUUUCCGCAAUGGGCGAAAGCCUGACGGAGCAAUACCGCGUGAGGGAAGAAUGCCUAUGGGUUGUAAACCUCUUUUUUCAGGGAGGAAUAAAAUGACGUGUACCUGAAGAAUAAGCAUCGGCUAACUCCGUG
rnacentral:rRNA from 1 species